UGCGCGGCUACACAUGCAAGUCGAACGGAAAGGCCCUGCUUUUGUGGGGUGCUCGAGUGGCGAACGGGUGAGUAACACGUGAGUAACCUGCCCUUGACUUUGGGAUAACUUCAGGAAACUGGGGCUAAUACCGGAUAGGAGCUCCUGCUGCAUGGUGGGGGUUGGAAAGUUUCGGCGGUUGGGGAUGGACUCGCGGCUUAUCAGCUUGUUGGUGGGGUAGUGGCUUACCAAGGCUUUGACGGGUAGCCGGCCUGAGAGGGUGACCGGCCACAUCGGGACUGAGAUACGGCCCAGACUCCUACGGGAGGCAGCAGUGGGGAAUAUUGCACAAUGGGCGGAAGCCUGAUGCAGCAACGCCGCGUGCGGGAUGACGGCCUUCGGGUUGUAAACCGCUUUCGCCUGUGACGAAGCGUGAGUGACGGUAAUGGGUAAAGAAGCACCGGCUAACUACGUGCCAGCAGCCGCGGUGAUACGUAGGGUGCGAGCGUUGUCCGGAUUUAUUGGGCGUAAAGGGCUCGUAGGUGGUUGAUCGCGUCGGAAGUGUAAUCUUGGGGCUUAACCCUGAGCGUGCUUUCGAUACGGGUUGACUUGAGGAAGGUAGGGGAGAAUGGAAUUCCUGGUGGAGCGGUGGAAUGCGCAGAAAUCAGGAGGAACACCAGUGGCGAAGGCGGUUCUCUGGGCCUUUCCUGACGCUGAGGAGCGAAAGCGUGGGGAGCGAACAGGCUUAGAUACCCUGGUAGUCCACGCUGUAAGCGGUGGGUACUAGGUGUGGGGUCCAUUCCACGGGUUCCGUGCCGUAGCUAACGCUUUAAGUACCCCGCCUGGGGAGUACGGCCGCAAGGCUAAAACUCAAAGGAAUUGACGGGGCCCC
rnacentral:rRNA from 1 species